rnacentral:rRNA from 1 species
GAUGAACGCUGGCGGCGUGCCUAAUACAUGCAAGUCGAGCGAACGGACGAGAAGCUUGCUUUUCUGAUGUUAGCGGCGGACGGGUGAGUAACACGUGGAUAACCUACCUAUCAGACUGGGAUAACUUCGGGAAACCGGAGCUAAUACCGGAUAAUAUUUUGAACCGCAUGGUUCAAUAGUGAAAGACGGUCUUGCUGUCACUUAUAGAUGGAUCCGCGCUGCAUUAGCUAGUUGGUAAGGUCACGGCUUACCAAGGCAACGAUGCAUAGCCGAACUGAGAGGGUGAUCGGCCACACUGGAACUGAGACACGGUCCAGACUCCUACGAGAGGGAGCAGUAGCGAAUCUUCCGCAAUGGGCGAAAGCCUGACGGAGCAACGCCGCGUGAGUGAUGAAGGUCUUCGGAUCGUAAAACUCUGUUAUUAGGGAAGAACAUAUGUGUAAGUAACUGUGCACAUCUUGACGGUACCUAAUCAGAAAGCCACGGCUAACUACGUG